rnacentral:rRNA from 1 species
UUCUGAGAGGAUUGACAGAUUGAGAGCUCGGUCCUGAUUCGGUGGAUGGUGGUGCAUGUCCGUUCUUAGUUGGUGGAGCGAUUUGUCUGGUUAAUUCCGAUAACGAGCGAGACUCUGGCCUAUUAAAUAGGCGUGUGGUUCUCUGCACCUUGCAGCCUUCUUAGAAGGACAAGCGGCUCCUAGCAGCGCGAAACAGCAAUAACAGGUCUGUGAUGCCCUUAGAU